rnacentral:rRNA from 2 species
UAUCAUGCAGUCGAGCGGAAGAUGGGAGCUUGCUCCCUGAAGUCAGCGGCGGACGGGCGAUUAACACGUGGGCAACCUGCCUGUAAGACUGGGAUAACUUCGGGAAACCGGAGCUAAUACCGGAUAACACCGAGGACCUCAUGGUCCUUGGUUGAAAGAUGGCUUCGGCUAUCACUUACAGAUGGGCCCGCGGCGCAUUAGCUAGUUGGUGAGGUAACGGCUCACCAAGGCGACGAUGCGUAGCCGACCUGAGAGGGUGAUCGGCCACACUGGGACUGAGACACGGCCCAGACUCCUACGGGAGGCAGCAGUAGGGAAUCUUCCGCAAUGGACGAAAGUCUGACGGAGCAACGCCGCGUGAGCGAUGAAGGCCUUCGGGUCGUAAAGCUCUGUUGUUAGGGAAGAACAAGUACCGUUCGAAUAGGGCGGUACCUUGACGGUACCUAACCAGAAAGCCACGGCUAACUACGUGCCAGCAGCCGCGGUAAUACGUAGGUGGCAAGCGUUGUCCGGAAUUAUUGGGCGUAAAGCGCGCGCAGGCGGUUCCUUAAGUCUGAUGUGAAAGCCCACGGCUCAGCCGUGGAGGGUCAUUGGAAACUGGAGAACUUGAGUGC